rnacentral:lncRNA from 1 species
UUUACACGGAAGUCUUGAUUAACAAACAAAGGUAAGUUUUUACUGCUUGUGAUGAGUUAAUAAUUAAUCCAUGAAAGUGUUGAUCCGAGUACAAACACCGUUACAAGUGGCUCUAAUCAGUUAUGUAGGAUUCACCGCAGGUCACUUUAAUUUGUUCUUGUUCAGAAAUAUAAUCUGGUCAACAAUUUCAGACGAAAGACUAGUUAACUUUUUAUUUUUGUUACAAGUUGUCCAAUUGAAAACAUUCCCUCGGAAGGAAAGGACGUUGCAGCAUGGUACUACUAUAACAAAUAGUAUCCUCAUGAUAAACAUAUUUAUGUUGUUAAUUGAUUUUUUUAGUAUUACGAGGGGGAUAUUUCAACGGAACUAAAGUGAGUGGAAAUUUGAAGAGAAAUAUCUCAAGAUGUAUAACACGCAAACGAGUAUCCGAGUACUAAAACUGUACUCGAGUACUUGGCCUUCCGAGCGAGUACCCGAGUACUCGAGUACUCGUUGCCAUUCCCUAAUAUAAAAGCAUUACAUAUACGGAAAAGAAAAGAGAAUAUUAAUACAUCCACGUAGAGAGAGAUGGAUACCAUAGCAUAACAUCUACGGAAGAGGAAAGAGAAUAUUAAUACAUGCACGUAAUGAGACAUGGAUACCAAAGCAUAAAAUCUACGAAAGAGAAAAGAGAAUAUCAAUACAUAUACGUAGAGAGAGGUGGAUAUCAAAGCAUAACAUCUACGGAAGAGGAAAGAGAAUAUCAAUGUAUCCACAUAGUGAGAGAGAGAUGAAUACCAAAGCAUAAGAUCUAUGGAAGAGGAAAGAGAAUAUUAAUACAUCUACGUAGAGAGACAGAGAUGGAUACCAAAGCAUUAGAUCUACGGAAGAGGAAAGAGAAUAUCAAUACAUCUACGUAGAGAGAGAGAGAUGGAUACCAAAGCAUAAGAUCUACGGAAGAGGAAAGAGAAUAUUAAUACAUCUACGUAGAGAUGGAUAUCAAUAGUUAUCAAAAGUACCAGGAUUAUAAUUUAAAACGCCAGACGCGCGUUUCACCUACAUAAGACUCAUCAGUGACGCUCAGAUCAAAAUAGAGAAAAUAGAAAGACAAACAAGUACAAAGUUGAAGAGCAUUUACAACUGGAAGAAAUAAGAAAAUAUUAAUACACCCACAGAGAGGGGUAUAAAGUAGAACAAUUACAUUUACUGUAGAAGAAAAAAGAGACUGAUAUCAAAGCAUUACAUCUACGGAAUCCAUUGCUGUACCACAAUAAGGACAUUACUCGAAAGAAAAGGGAAAACAUUACAAAUGCAUUAUAUUUGUAUUUCCAAAGGUGGUUUCUAAAUUUAGUAAUUAAUAAUAUGAAUGUGGAUCUACUAACAACUUUUCAAAAGACAAAACGAGAUAUAAGGUAUUUUUUUUCUCACAAAAAUCAGUCGGUUAUUAAUUCUUUGUGCACAAAACAGCACUAAAACUUUAUUCGGUCACAAUCAGAGUCUAUUCACGUUAAAAUUAAGUGCACGGCUCAAUUACUCUUUAUAAUAUUGCUCAUGAACUUUUAAACUAGUCCGGUGUGCAUUUGACACAAAUUCAACAGAAAAAACGUAAAAGAAUACUAAAAUUUUCCUAGUCAGCAAACAACACAAUAGUUUUUGUGUCUGAUGUUUUAUUUUGCGUAGUCAGGACAACCGGUUUUGAAUAGAUGUGUCAAUGAUAUAUAAACAACUGAACGCCAUAUGUCCCAAACACCCGUCAUUCCCUGUUCGAUUAAACACCAAAAAUAAAGUAAAUAUAAUACAAUACGACAUUUUAUGCGUUACAUUGUUAUGUACUUUUCAGGAUUUUCACAAUAACUAACAAUCUUUACGUUUAAUAUUGUGCAUUAAUUAUCAUAUUUUACAGUAACAUUUGAAAUAACUAUACAACAUGUAAGCUAUACUAGCAAAAUUUAAUAGAAAGAACGAUAGCUUUUGAUAAAAGGAAGUUAUAAGAGGGGAUUAAAUAUGUUAAAAUGCUAUUUUCAACACUGCACAUUUUGCUUUCCAAUCGUUUAUUUCAUUAUUUGACCGUAUAUGAUGAAGAUUAUUCGGAAAAUCGCGCACACAACAAUUUUAUCAUAUAUUGUCAUAUACUUUAAGUGAACAUAUAAAUCCCUAUCAGAAUGAAAAUAUUCAAGAUACUGUGCGCCAUAUUGGUGAUGCUAAUGGCAAUUUUAGUAGAAACAGCAAGUGGAUUACCACUUUGGGGACGGUAUGAAAAUAACAGGAUAAAAAAAUAUGCUAAUGACAACACUUUGGAAAUGGCCGUAGGAUAACUGGUAAUGACAAAACAAAAGAAUUGAUAAUACAUAUAGAGUUUUAUAAUAAUAAUAAUAAUAAUAAUAAUAAUAAUAAUAAUAAUAAUAAUAAUAAUAAUAAUAAUAAUAAUAAUAAUUAUAAUAAUAACAACAACAACAAUUAUAAUAAUAAGAAGAAUAAUUAUUAUUUAUCAUUUAGGUAAACCUUUGCAAUAUGAAAAUUAUCAAGAUUCUGUGUGCGAUAUGCAUGAUGCUAUUAUCAGUUUUAGCAGUAACAGCUAGUGGAAAGCCUCCUCGCGGAAGACUUGAAUUUAACAGAGUAAAAAGAGAUGCCAUUGACAACACUUUGAAUAGAAUGGUGAGAUAACUGGUAAUAACAAUCAAAAAGAUUAUUUUAUAGAGUUUUUAAAUUACAACAACAACAACAACAACAAUAAUAAUGAUAAUAAUAAUAAUUUUAUUAUUAUUAUAGAUUAUCUUUGAUCAUCUCAACGAGAUUGAUUUUCUCGCUUGAGCCGGGACGGUUGAGAUGAUCAAUGAUAAUCAUUUUACCGCUGUUUUACAUAUGUCGACGUUGUCUAUUUCACGUCAAUUUCAUUAGCAACUCCACGUGCCUCCUUAGUUUCUAGCGAUAACUUUCCAUCUCAAGCGAGUAGCAUAAUAUGAAAAAUUAUUACAAAACAAGAUAAAAGGGAAAAUGCACAAAAUAGCGAUAAUAAUAAUAAUAAUAAAAAAAAAAUAAUAAAAAUAAAAGUAAUGAUAAUAAUAAUAAAAAAAUAAUGUAAAUUGUAAUUUUUCAGGUGGGAAGAGAUUAGUGGAUUCGUGACACCACACACUGGAUCUUUCAUCAUUGAAGCUGAACUAUAUAUGUUUUGAAUUAAAGUUGGUCUCUGUAUUAGU